UGGUGGGUCAGAACCACCAGAAUGUAUAUCUGACUGCACCAGAGAUCAGAGGUUUCCUGGGGAGGUCCCUCCUUGCUGUCAGGGAGCAGAACUGGCCACAGGAGAAGAUAGCAUCACGGAGGAGCUGAUGUUUGCAGACUUGUGCUGUGGUGAUAUUUCAGUGAUCAAGAGAGUUAAGACAUCUAAGCAGCUGUUAUUUGGUCAAUCGGGAUGCAUUAUAAGUGUUAUGUUCGUCUGAAGACUUCCCAGUUUUGUUCAAACAGUUACUAGGGGAUCUGUGAGGAGAAGGUGGAUGAGACAGGAGAGAAACAAGGUUGUUCCGUUGUGGCGACGUGUGAAACCAGGCGCCAGGCACAACUGUCUGCGACACUUUCUUCAAGGUCUGUGCCGCUGUCCCCUCUCUCCUGCAGGCCUUGACCGGCUUCCUCUGUUGGCAUCUGUGAGGGCUGGACGCUGUGUGCAACCCUGUCUCCUGGUCCUUCUACACAGUCGGCCAGUUUCACUCACACUUAGGACUGCACAUGCUGCCCACAUGCCCAUCUCUACCUGGUCUUCAUUUUGCCCAGAUGCAGCUCCUGAGUUCCCAUGGUGUUGGUGCCCCCUGCAAGCCGCUGAGGCAGAGAAGUCCAGGACAGUUCCCUGCCGCUUCUCCUCCAUCCCCUCUUUCUAUGAAGAGCUUCACCAUCUCUCCUUGUUCAUGCCAGGCACUUGAAUGUCACCCUGGAUUUGACUUUAAGUACCUGAUCUCCUAGUCCUUCCAGUGCUGUGGCUGGAUGAGGUUCGUGUCCAGGGGUUCACCUGUUGGGAGCUUGGGGCCUAGUGUGACAGUGCUAAGAGGCCCUAUAUCACAAUUAGGGCAGUCAUGCCACUUGCCAUGAGGACCAGACCCAAGCCAGUGCCAGCAUCGUGCCCCAGAAUGUCCCACCCUGAGUUAAAAUGAGCUUCUCUUCUUCCCCUAAUACCUGGCUGCAGGCAUCUCAGGUGGCUACAGAGCCUGGUGACUUGUCUGGUCACCUCCCAGGUGUCCCCAGUUCUCUGGCCUCUCCCUCUCUCCUCUGGACAAGGCAGCAGUUGUUACCCUGAGCUCUUCUUCCUGCCACACCCAGGACUGUGGCCAGAGUCUCCUCUCACAGGAAAGCUGGUCACCCUUGUGCUCCUGUGUGGGCACUCAAUGCUAAGAGCCCAUCGGCAGCACUUGUGGAACCCUUAAGGUGACUUCCCCACCCCUGCCCUCCUUCUCAUGCAUCUCCACCCUGCCCUUUGUGGUUCAGUGGAGUGGAGGGGUCUGUGCAUCUCCAGUUCACUGAUUUUAUUCCCGUGAGCCUUUGCACCUGCUUUUUGUUUUUGUUUCCUGGGCACCUAGCAAAGUGCUUAGCACACA